rnacentral:Y_RNA from 3 species
GGCUGGUGCGAUGGUAGUGGGUUAAAUUAAAUUAUUACUGUCAGUUAAACUAAUCUUUCUAUAUUCCACCCCACUGCUCACAUUGACCGGUCUUAG